UAGAAUGUGGUGUAAUAGGUAGCACGGAGAUUUUUGAUUUCUCAGGCACGGGUUCGAUUCCUGUAGUUCUAG
ensembl:Mt_tRNA